AUCUAUUUACCUACUUACCAUACCUUUUUUUAAAUAACAUACAUAAUAAACUAUCAGUUAGAAACAAUUGGCCACAGAAUGUACAAAGCAAUGCCUUGUCAAUAAACUAUUUGCUGUGAUUCACAAUUUUAGGAAGAAGUUUUCAGAAAAUGAAAAAGAGGAUGGAAACAUUAAAAGAAGUAUAAAAUGUUAAGAAAAGAAAAAUGAAUAAUAAGAAAAUAAAUAAACAAAAAUAUUUUGAAACAUUUGGAAACAAAAAAAAAAGACAACAACGACAUCAAAGAAGUAAAAGAAGUAAGGAACAUUAUUAGAACCAAUUUAAAAAGAAAAAGAAUGUAUUUGAA